rnacentral:rRNA from 1 species
CCUACGGGUGGCAGCAGUGAGGAAUAUUGGUCAAUGGGCGCAAGUCUGAACCAGCCAAGUCGCGUGAAGGAUGACGGCUCUAUGGGUUGUAAACUUCUUUUAUAUGGGAAUAAAAUGUGCCACGUGUGGGGUUUUGUAUGUCCCAUAUGAAUAAGGAUCGGCUAACUCCGUGCCAGCAGCCGCGGUAAUACGGAGGAUCCGAGCGUUAUCCGGAUUUAUUGGGUUUAAAGGGAGCGCAGGUGGGAUGUUAAGGCAGUUGUGAAAGUUUGGGGCUCAACCGUAAAAUUGCAUUUGAAACUGGGAUUCUUGAGUGCUGUAGAGGUAGGCGGAAUUCGGGGUGUAGCGGUGAAAUGCGUAGAUAUCCGGAAGAACCCCGAUUGCGAAGGCAGUUCACUGGACUGCAACUGACGCUGAGGCGCGAAAGUGUGGGGAUCAAACAGGAUUAGAUACCCUUGUAGUC